AAAGUACUCCCUCCGUCCCAAAAUUCAUGUCUUAGAUUUGUCUAGAUACGGAUGUAUCAAGUCACAUUUUAGUAUUAGAUACAUCUGUAUCUAGACAAAUCUAAGACAAGAAAUUUGGGACAGAGGGAGUAGUUG
rnacentral:pre_miRNA from 1 species